CAAUCAGAGCAAUAUCCAGGACUGGGAGAGGAGAGUGAACUUGGACGCAGGUGGGUGCAGUGACACACAGCCACGGCUCACCCGAUAUGGAGAACUCCGGGGAAAAACAAGGAGAAGAGACCGAGAAAUAUGAAGAGAAUCUUCUCCAGUGUUUGAUCAGUGCCAAGUGAGGCAAGGAUCUACUAGGAACAGAGAGAAAGAAGCCAAUUCCUCGCCUUAACGUAUGCCUUGCCCUGAUUGCCUGCCCCCCCCAAAAAAUCAAGCUGGGAGUGGUGGUGAUGGAGGAAGAAAUGGAGAAACCAAAUCCAGAGAAGAAAGGUGAGGUCUCAGGAAGAGGAGAAUGCAGAACAACACAGCAGCACAGGAUUGAAGGG